GAUAAUAUCAUUAUUGUGAAUUUUUAUUAGUUAUUUUUAAUGUGGGAAUAUAAUUAAGACAAAUUGAUAAGGAUUACCAAACAAACAUGCACAGUAAAGUGAACUAUCAAUUCUGUAAGCUAAAAGAUGCAUAUUGCACUGAUACUUUGCGAUAUAGCUUUCUGAGUCAUUUCUGAGUCAUGUAUAUAAUAUUAGCCAUUAACCAAGGAGGUUGUGUUAUUUAUUUGUUUCCUGUUCUAAAAGUUGGAUGAAUUAUUCUUAGUAACAAAUUUAAUUAAUUGUGCUAUUUAUGCAUUGAUCAUAUAUGUUGUAUUUUAAUGCAAAUGCAGGGGCACUAUUUAAAUAUUUUGGAGCACCCUCUGCCACUAGCCAGGAUGAUGAGCCAUCUACCUCCUCAGCCACACGUCUCCACAAAUGCUGUCUGAUCCUGAGGAUGAAGACCCAUUUAACUUUACUUCUCCCCAGCAAGAUUCUUCAGAAAUGCAUGGAGCAGAAUCGCCUGCUGAGGAUGAGCCUCUGUCCACUGACCCUGCUAACUGGCCCUCAGUUCUGACAGUGAGAAUUCGGACACAACUGGAUUCCAGGGGACCGGGUCAGGUAACAUCUGACUUUGUAUUCCCUAGAAACGACAGUGACGGAAGACGUUGCCACCAUCAAUACUUCAGAAAGUCAUUGGUUUGUGUUACGAAGCCGCAACCGGAACUGACUCAAGCCAGAGGAGGCAGACAGGCUUGUCUUCCUGGUCAAAAAUGUGUAAAACAGACAGCAAGCACACACCUCAUGUCCUGUACAUCUACCAGUAUGUGAUGUUUACUAUGCAAUGCAUGCAGAUGUUUAAUUUAGUUCACAUAUCUUCAGGGAUAUAAAAUACUCUUUUGUAAACAAAGGCACCUUUUGCAAAAUUAAGUUUUUAAUAAAAGUUAUGUUAACACUUUAUGAAUCCCAAUAUGGAAACUGAUCUCUUUUUAUAGCAAGCAAUCUGACAUGUUAGAUUUCUGUUUACAAAAGCAUUUUAUCAAAAAGGGACACAGUCUUUUCAAAAGGAUGGACUUUUAUUUAUUUUUUCAAGUGAGUUUGAAGCUGCACU